UACUCUAGAUAGCAAAAAUUUCUACAAUACUUAUAUCAAUAGAUAAUUAUCCGCGGUUAUUUAUCCAUAUACAUAUCUAUUGUCAUCCUUGUUCGUGUCAAUCUUUGACCGUACGGCAGUUAUCCAUAGCCAUAAUAUAUGAAAGUCAGAAUAUAGUAUUAAAAUUUCGUUUAUUUUUAAAUAUAAAAAGGAAAAAAGUUACGUUCGCCAUAUUAUGAUAUUGCUAGUCUACUACUGGUAUCGAGCAAAAGAACAAUUAGUAGUACCCGUCUCCAUAAUCUGAGCCCCCCAAUAAUGAUCCCACGUCUCACGUGGCCGCAAUAGAACGUCACGUGCGUGCACGCACACACAUUCGGGCCCUUCCGACCGCAAGCCGCCCGUGCCGCCGUGCAUCCGUGCCCGGCCCGGCCCGGCGGCCGCUGGCGGCGACCACCGUAGUCUAUAGAGGAGGGGAGAUGUCGUGCAUCGGCGGUUGCCCUCCUCGGCUUCCGUUUCCGGCAUCAUCGCGCCACUCGUGGAAUUCUUCGAGCCGUCUGCGCGGCCUUGUCUGCUCCGCCCGUCGCUGGCGUACACAUACAGCAUGUUCCGAUUCAGAAAUGUGCUGUGGCCAGGAGAAUAGAAAACGAGGAAAAUGUUAAUGUGGAAUUUGACAAGGAUGAAACGGUAGGAAUUUGUCGUCACUAUCAAUGAUGGCCUACAGUCAUUAUAUGGUGCAAACCAAAAUUAGAUGAAUGUACUGGCAAACAGUUGAUAAAUGGCUAGGAUUACAACACUGAGGUAAGGUUUUCGAAGUUCCCCAUUUUAACAAUCUUGUUUGUAUGAUAAGAUACCAUACUUGAUACUUUGUACUUUGUUUCAAUGAUUAGUAUGCUGUGCAAUUGUGCCUUACA